rnacentral:rRNA from 1 species
AGAGUUUGAUCCUGGCUCAGAACGAACGCUGGCGGCAGGCUUAACACAUGCAAGUCGAACGCUCGUAGCAAUACGGGAGUGGCAGACGGGUGAGUAACGCGUGGGAACAUACCCUCCGGUUCGGAAUAGCUCAGGGAAACUUGGAUUAAUACCGGAUACGGCUGAGAGGCGAAAGAUUUAUCGCCGGAGGAUUGGCCCGCGUUCGAUUAGCUUGUUGGUGAGGUAACGGCUCACCAAGGCGAUGAUCGAUAGCUGGUCUGAGAGGAUGAUCAGCCACAUUGGGACUGAGACACGGCCCAAACUCCUACGGGAGGCAGCAGUGGGGAAUAUUGGACAAUGGGCGCAAGCCUGAUCCAGCCAUGCCGCGUGAGUGAUGACGGCCUUAGGGUUGUAAAGCUCUUUCGCUCGGGACGAUAAUGACGGUACCGAGAUAAGAAGCCCCGGCUAACUUCGUGCCAGCAGCCGCGGUAAUAC